rnacentral:lncRNA from 1 species
CUACAAUAUUUAUUAACUAACAUAAAAAAACUAAAAAAGUAACAACGAACUAGAAGGAAUAAAGUGUACAUCAUGUUAGGUCCAAUUCAUCAUCAUUUUUUCAAAUAAAUCAAGGUUGAUUCUGUAAACUUCAUGCUUCUAAUAUCCUAAAUCUGCUUCUGAUAUCCUUGACAUUGCCUCGUGCUGUACCAUCUAAAACUCCUACUUGAAAGUUUUGCAGGAGAUGCAUAGCAAAAACAAUAGAAUAAAUCAACAGCAAACCACUAAUAAACAGGACAAGGUUAGUGCAACCAAGCAGCAUAACUCAUUCAUUUAAUCACUAGAUUCACUGCACAACCUCCAAUUCUUUAAAAAUACAUGAUUUUUCCUCUUCAAAUUGGUAAAUAGUAUGAGUAAUGCAUGACAAUUGGUAUAAUAUUUUCAGAGGGGACUAUGUGACCACAUGAAAAGAAAUGUAACUGAUCUGGUGCAUUUACAAGUUGCUUGGGGAAAUCAAAACCCAACAAAUAAAGUAGAGCAUUAUUUUAAGCAGGCUAAUGACAUCACAAUAACGAUGGUGCUUCAUUUCUUUUCAAAAGAAAGUGUAUUCUCUGUCAAAUCUUAAAUAACAGAUUCGUAGUAGUAAAGGAAAAUAAUAUGAUGACUGUGAGUCUGUGACAUAGUAACCAGAUCCUGAGCAAGAACAGUCAUUUGAAGAUAAGAGUCGAUAAAAUUAAAUCUGGUGGUUUAAUUAAUACAACUUAAUGCUGCCAAUAUAAUGCAAAGAUUAUGUAGCAUGAAGCUGUAAGAUAUUGUUACCUCUCUGUUAAAAGGAGGAUAUCUUCCAAGCCCUUGGGUAGCAUUUGCAGAAG